GUGCUUGCUUCAGCAGCACAUAUACUAAAAUUAGAAUGAUACAGAGAUUAGCAUGGCUGUUGUACAAGCAUGACAUGCAAAUGCGUGAAGCGUUCCAUAUUUUU
ensembl:snRNA U6 U6 spliceosomal RNA